CGAAUGCCUCCGCCCGGGGCUCUGCAGUUUUGUUUUAUUAGUCCCGGUGGGAGGUUUUACUGCGGUAAAAGUGCAGUGUGAAGGUCAGAUGAAGCUGGAUGUGAUAAAAAGCAGUAAUCCCACCGGAAUCCAACUCUGUAACCCCUUGCUAACUUACAGGUGUCUCAGUAGCUGGGUGUCUGACUGAAUCCUUCCUGCACAUGGAGCACGGGAAUGCUCUGUCCCCGGUGUAACUGCACCAUUGGGUGGUCAGCUCAGAACCUUCAACAAUUUGAGAACUGGAUAGAAAACGAGAGACAGAGCAGCCACUCCAGAAGCUUCCAAAAUCACUCUGCACCUUGACCUUCUUGAAUGGUUGCACUCGGAGUGCUGAAGUUGCUCCCAGAUUGCUGUCUGGCGAUCAGAAGUGGACACAUUACCCCAGAAGGCGCCUCACUGACGUUCUGUACAAGCUCAACAUAACAUCCCAACUCCUCUCAAACGUCUGAGCAAUGAAGCUA